UUGAGAUUUUUGACUCAGGGACUUUUCGCACCAUCGUUACUUUCUUCUGAUUCUCCUCUGAUCCCAAGCCCGCGUCCCCUCACCAGCGACUUCGCUCCUCACCGGGAGGGCCGCGAUGGAGGUCCCGCCCCGGCUUUCCCAUGUGCCGCCGCCAUUGUUCCCCUCCGCUCCCGCUACUUUAGCCUCCCGCAGCCUCUCCUAUUGGCGACCGCGGGCGCCGCGGCAGCUCGCUCCGCUCCUCCCUUCGCUCGCUCCCAGCUCCUCCCGGCAGGGGGCGCGCCGGGCCCAGCGCCACGUCACCGCCCAGCAGCCCUCCCGAUUGGCGGGUGGGGCGGCUAUAAAGGGAGGUCGCAGGCGGCGCCCAGAUCUCUUCCGCCGCCAUUUUAAAUCCAGUUCCAUACAACGCUCCGCCGCCGCUACUGCCGCGACUCGAUCUGCGCGCCAGCACCCCGCUGCCGACAACUCCGCCACAAUGGAGGACAUGAACGAAUACAGCAACAUAGAGGAAUUCGCAGAGGGAUCCAAGAUCAAUGCGAGCAAGAAUCAGCAGGAUGACGGUAAAAUGUUUAUUGGAGGCUUGAGCUGGGAUACAAGCAAGAAGGAUCUGACUGAGUAUUUGUCUCGAUUUGGAGAGGUUGUAGACUGCACAAUUAAAACAGAUCCAGUCACUGGACGGUCAAGAGGAUUUGGAUUUGUGCUUUUCAAAGACGCUGCUAGUGUUGAUAAGGUUUUGGAACUGAAAGAACACAAACUGGAUGGCAAAUUGAUAGACCCCAAAAGGGCCAAAGCUUUAAAAGGGAAGGAACCCCCAAAAAAGGUUUUUGUGGGUGGAUUGAGUCCAGAUACUUCUGAAGAACAAAUUAAGGAAUAUUUUGGCGCUUUCGGAGAGAUUGAAAAUAUUGAACUUCCCAUGGAUACAAAAACAAAUGAAAGAAGAGGAUUUUGUUUUAUCACAUAUACAGAUGAAGAGCCUGUGAAGAAAUUGUUAGAAAGCAGAUACCAUCAAAUUGGUUCUGGGAAGUGUGAAAUCAAAGUUGCACAACCCAAAGAGGUAUAUAGGCAGCAACAGCAACAACAGAAAGGAGGAAGAGGUGCCACAGCUGGUGGACGAGGUGGUACUAGGGGUCGUGGACGAGGUCAGGGCCAAAACUGGAACCAAGGAUUUAAUAACUAUUAUGAUCAAGGAUAUGGAAAUUACAAUAGUGCCUAUGGUGGUGAUCAAAACUAUAGUGGCUAUGGCGGAUAUGAUUAUACUGGGUAUAACUAUGGGAACUAUGGAUAUGGACAGGGAUAUGCAGACUACAGUGGCCAACAGAGCACGUAUGGCAAGGCAUCUCGAGGGGGUGGCAAUCACCAAAACAAUUACCAGCCAUACUAAAGGAGGACUUUGGAGAAAACAGCGGGAACUUCAUUGCAGGCCGUGUGUCACCCUGACCACGUCUAUCUCUGGGGGUCGCACGUUGCGGGCAGAGCGCAAGGCAUACACCAGAAAACGCUGUCCUGUGGAGGAGAUGUAAAGUAACCCAUCUUGCCAGGACGACGUUGGAGAUUGGUCUCCUGUUGAUCUAAGAUGAUUACUUUGUAAAAGACUUUCUAGUGUACAAGGCACAAUUGUGUCCACCUGUAUAUAGCCGCCAAUUAGUUUUCUUUGUUUUUACUUUGUCUUUUGCUAUCUGUGUUAUGACUCGAUGUGGAUUUGUGUUUAUACAAAUUUUAUUUGUAUGAUUUCAUGUUAAACUUCAAAUAAAUGCUUCCUUAUGUGAUUGUUUUUCUGUGUCAGGUACUAAGUAGCUUUGUAAAAAUGUAAUAUUAAAUAAGCAAUAAUUAAGGCACGGUUUGUUUUGUAGGAAAUGUUGGUCCAUAGGGAGAAACAGUAGUCCUUUAUGAAUAGCCAGCCACAUUGUCAUCCUGUUCCCCAUUUUUAUAGACGUACUCUGUGCUCACGGCUUCAUCUCCCUUUUAAUUGAGGCUUAUGCUACCCCAUUAAUGUUCUUUUUCCUCUGUGUAUCUGUAGACUUCAUCAUCGGGACUUUUUAAGUUGAAGUAUUGUCAUGAGCUGUAUUUCUCUAGUAGACCAUGAGUCUUCUGAGUUAACAAUUUCAAGAAAAGUACUUUGUAACGCAAAAGACAUUUAUAGCUGUUAAUGACUGGAGAAGAUUUUGCUUUGUUCCUUUAUGCAGAGGGCCAUUUGUUAUGAUUUGCUGAUUCUUUGGCUUCAGAGUCACUUGACGAUCUUCUAGAAGAAGCUUUAGCUCAUCACAAAGCUUCUAACAGUUGUCUUGGUAAAAUCUUCAGGGAAAAAACACGCAGUUAGAAUGACCUUUAAUUUAAAAUGUAGCUAGCAAAUUACAAGGAUUUUAGCAGAGGAGUAUGAAGUUACUAGAUGAGAAGAUUAGAUAAAGUAUUUGAAGUAGUGGCAGAGUGAAUUCUCUUGGUGUUCUGUCACAGCCAUUGCCAAACUGAACAUUGGGACGUUUUUGGGAAACUACUGGUAGAGUUAAUUGCCCUUGUGGUUGUGAGUUCUUAGAAAAAGACAUUGUUUUUAACAGAAGUCAGUGCAUGAGCUGAGCGGUUAAAUAUUUCCAGGUUCAGCUGUAGAAGUAGUAGAAGGGCAUGCUUUAAACCUUGCAAAUACUAAUGCACAGCUGAUUUACGGCAUUACAGCAGAUCUUCCUGGUGCAUUGAAAAGGAAAUCAAGCAGUUUGGUUUCUAGGUUUUCAGGUACAUACAUAGAUCCCAGCUUUGAAUUUUGCAUUUAGUGUAUUUAGUUGGAUUUAAGGAAAAGCUAUUUUCCACGGUUCCACCUUAGUCUGCUAAGAUCAUUAUGAAGUACACUUGGCAUACUCGUGCAUGUGCAGACUAGUUGAUUUCGCAGUCAACCAAGUAGUUCUGUAUGGUGAUGGACUUUUUUUUUUCCUUGAUUUGAUGCCUGCAGAUUUGUUUCUGUGAUGUUUGUACCCAGUCAAGUUAAAAACGCUCUUGGCCUUGUGUUUUGCUCCUGUGUUGCUAUUUGAUCUUAACACCCGGGCCAAGUACUAAUGUUGGCUAUCACAAGGGAUUAUUUCUCUAUUUCAACGUGCAACCUUAGGGAACUGAAGGCAGAUAAUUUCAUUUUAAGUGUGUUGUCAAGUCAGCAGGUGCAGUGUCUUCAGAGUAGUGAAUCCUGUAAGUUCAAAUUUAUGAUUAGGUGACAAGUUGACAUUGAGAUUGUCCUUCCCUGAUCCAAACUGAAUAAAAGCUUUAAAAAAAAAUCCACGCUCUUCAGUCAAGUCUUGAUACAUUUGACCUUGAGGAAGUUACAUCUAGAGGUUAUCAUCUGAGAUGGUUUACAAAGAAUUGAGUGGGGAGUAAAAGUGAAUCUGAUUUUCUUCGAGGGCCUUUGGAUUCUGGAUUCUUGUGUUCUGAUUAAUUCAGUUUUACAGCCUAUAAAUGUUCACCAACUGCGUUUGUAAACUGGAAAAAUGUAGACCAAGGAUAAGUGCUCUAGGCACUUCUAGUUAGAUAAACUGUAAAAUUAGUAUCAAAAUCUCUUUCCCAAGUAUUUAGGACUUAGGUGAGUAAUGUGUGAAG